rnacentral:tRNA from 1 species
AAUAUGGCUUAGUGGUAGAGUGUUUGCUUAGCACACAUGAAGCCCUGAGUUCGAUUCCUCAGUAUU